rnacentral:rRNA from 1 species
UACGUAGGGGGCCAGCGUUGCUCGGAAUUACUGGGCGUAAAGGGUCCGUAGGCGGUGUGGCAAGUCGGGAGUGAAAUCUCUGGGCUUAACUCAGAGGCUGCUUCCGAAACUGCCGUGCUAGAGUGUGAGAGAGGCGAGUGGAAUUGCGGGUGUAGCGGUGAAAUGCGUAGAUAUCUGCAGGAACAUCCGAGGCGAAAGCGGCUCGCUGGAUCACAACUGACGCUGAGGGACGAAAGCUAGGGGAGCAAACAGG